rnacentral:rRNA from 1 species
CCCAGUCGGGGGGGAUAACGUAGCGAAAGUUACGCUAAUACCGCAUACGUCCUGAGGGAGAAAGCGGGGGACCGUAAGGCCUCGCGCGAUUGGAGCGGCCGAUGUCGGAUUAGCUAGUUGGUGGGGUAAAGGCCUACCAAGGCAACGAUCCGUAGCGGGUCUGAGAGGAUGAUCCGCCACACUGGGACUGAGACACGGCCCAAACCUCUACGGGAGGCAGCAGUGGGGAAUUUUGGACAAUGGGCGAAAGCCUGAUCCAGCCAUGCCGCGUGAGUGAAGAAGGCCUUCGGGUUGUAAAGCUCUUUCAGACGGAAAGAAAUCUUCUGGGCUAAUACCCCGGGAGGAUGACGGUACCGUAAGAAGAAGCACCGGCUAACUACGUGCCAGCAGCCGCGGUAAUACGUAGGGUGCGAGCGUUAAUCGGAAUUACUGGGCGUAAAGCGUGCGCAGGCGGUGAUGUAAGACAGAUGUGAAAUCCCCGGGCUCAACCUGGGAACUGCGUUUGUGACUGCAUCACUCGAGUACGGCAGAGGGAGGUGGAAUUCCGCGUGUAGCAGUGAAAUGCGUAGAGAUGCGGAGGAACACCGAUGGCGAAGGCAGCCUCCUGGGCCAGUACUGACGCUUAUGCACGAAAGCGUGGGGAGCAAACA